CCGCCCUCUGGCCGCAUACUGGAUGAUGGUGAUGAGGGAGAGAAGGCUGAUCUGUUGUUUGCUGGCUUAACCCUUUGCAGGUUAUGGGAAAGGAGAAAGAUGGAUUCUUUGUUUUGUGGGGUUUAGGUGUUGAAACGGGAGCACUGUCGGUGUGUACUUGAGCAGAUACCAAGUUUUAUGGAAGAAAGAGAAAUUCUUCAUCUGACUCUGACUCCUGUUCUGGAACAACUUGCAAGCCUCUCAGUCUUACUUUCAUCAGCUCUGUUUUCCCUCACAAACCUAUCUUUUGUUUUGUGAAAAACAGGAAUGGUUGAUGUGCUCCUAAUGUGCUGUCCUGCAGUGAUAGAUUUACAAAUCUCACUGCAUGGAUAAAUCUUGCACAAAUUAUCCUUAUUACUGUGUAAGAGGAGAUUCAGAAGCGCCAUACAUCAUCUCAACGUGCUGUUUAUACAAAUGAAAGUCUCCUUUGGGAANAGGAAUAUUUGUCAGCAGCUCAGACCCAGACCUAGGUAUAUGAGGAAGUGUUCCAGGCCAGGAGGAGCCAUCUCUGUGAUGUGCAGUUUGGUGUGCUUGCAGAUCUUGCUGUUAUCGGGGAGAGAACCUUUGUUCAGCAGACCUGUACUUGGUUCAGGCAAAUCCAACCGAAGAUUUCAGCUGCACUGUUGCCUUGCCUCCCUGAGUUUGCAGUUCCAUCCACACUGCUAUGGUAUACAAUAAUAAAUAAAAAUAGAUAGGUGGGUUACUUCUCUAGCUUACAGGAGCCUUCUUC
rnacentral:lncRNA from 1 species